rnacentral:rRNA from 1 species
CCUACGGGAGGCAGCAGUGAGGAAUAUUGGUCAAUGGGCGUAAGCCUGAACCAGCCAAGUCGCGUGAGGGAUGAAGGUUCUAUGGAUCGUAAACCUCUUUUAUAAGGGAAUAAAGUGUGGGACGUGUCCUGUUUUGUAUGUACCUUAUGAAUAAGGAUCGGCUAACUCCGUGCCAGCAGCCGCGGUAAUACGGAGGAUCCGAGCGUUAUCCGGAUUUAUUGGGUUUAAAGGGUGCGUAGGCGGCCUUUUAAGUCAGCGGUGAAAGUCUGUGGCUCAACCAUAGAAUUGCCGUUGAAACUGGGAGGCUUGAGUAUGUUUGAGGCAGGCGGAAUGCGUGGUGUAGCGGUGAAAUGCUUAGAUAUCACGCAGAACCCCGAUUGCGAAGGCAGCCUGCCAAGCCAUGACUGACGCUGAUGCACGAAAGCGUGGGGAUCAAACAGGAUUAGAGACCUCAGUAGUC